AAAAAAAAAAACCUUAAAAAAGAAAUACAUUUCAUGCCAGAUGGGACCUUCUUGGUUCGAGAUGCAUCAACAAAAAUGCAGGGAGAUUAUACUUUGACUUUGCGGAAGGGAGGCAAUAAUAAGUUGAUAAAGAUCUAUCAUCGGGAUGGUAAAUAUGGCUUUUCUGAUCCUCUGACAUUUAAUUCUGUGGUGGAGCUCAUUAACCACUAUCAUCAUGAGUCUCUUGCUCAGUACAAUCCCAAACUUGAUGUGAAGCUGACGUACCCAGUGUCCAGGUACCAACGGGAUCAGUUGGUAAAAGAAGAUAACAUUGAUGCAGUAGGUAAAAAACUGCAAGAGUACCACUCUCAGUAUCAGGAAAAGAGUAAAGAGUAUGAUAGGCUAUAUGAAGAAUAUACUAGAACAUCCCAGGAAAUACAGAUGAAGAGGACUGCAAUUGAAGCUUUUAAUGAAACAAUUAAAAUAUUUGAGGAACAGUGUCAUACACAAGAACAACACAGCAAAGAAUAUAUUGAGCGAUUUCGCAGAGAAGGGAAUGAAAAGGAGAUUGAACGAAUUAUGAUGAAUUAUGAUAAAUUGAAAUCCCGUAUGGGUGAGAUUCAUGACAGCAAAAUGCGUCUAGAGCAGGAUUUGAAGAAACAAGCUUUGGACAACCGAGAAAUAGAUAAAAAAAAAUGAAUAGCAUCAAACCUGACCUGAUGGAGCUGCGCAAGAUCCGAGAUCAGCACCUUGUAUGGCUCAAUCACAAAGGAGUGAGACAGAAGCGCCUGAAUGCAUGGCUAGGAAUCAAGAAUGAGGAUGCUGAUGAGAACUAUUUUAUCAAUGAAGAAGAUGAAAACCUGCCCCAUUAUGAUGAGAAAACCUGGUUUGUGGAGGAUAUCAAUCGAGUUCAAGCAGAGGAUUUGCUUUACGGGAAACCUGAUGGUGCAUUCUUAAUUCGUGAGAGCAGCAAGAAAGGAUGCUAUGCUUGCUCUGUGGUUGCCGAUGGGGAAGUGAAGCACUGUGUGAUCUACAGCACUGCUCGGGGCUGUGCCUUUGCAGAGCCCUACAACCUGUACAGCUCUCUGAUAGAGCUGGUGCUCCAUUACCAGCAGACAUCCCUGGUUCAGCACAACGGCUCCCUCAACGUCCGGCUUGCCUACCCUGUCUAUGCACAGAUGCCCUCGCUCUGCAGAUAAAGAGGAAGUGGGGAGAGAGGUCGCUCUCUAGCAUUCUUUUCUACAGUUUUUAUUAGACUACGAGGGCAUUCUUUCUACGUAGACUGCUUGUUUUGCACAAGAAGUGAUUCUGUGAAUGUGAAGUGGAGAGGCCGAGCAGCCGCUGGCCUGGAUGGGGGCAUUACGGGCCUGGGUUCUCUGCUACUCAGCAGUGCCACUCACUGCACUGACUUACUAAGCUGGAAGCAGAUGUUUUGGGGAAAGUCUAUUUCAUUGGAGUUUU